GGUUAAGCGACUAAGCGUACACGGUGGAUGCCCUGGCAGUCAGAGGCGAUGAAGGGCGUGCUAAUCUGCGAUAAGCGCCGGUAAGGUGAUAUGAACCGUUAUAACCGGCGAUACCCGAAUGGGGAAACCCAGUGUGAUUCGUCACACUAUCAUUAACUGAAUCCAUAGGUUAAUGAGGCGAACCGGGGGAACUGAAACAUCUAAGUACCCCGAGGAAAAGAAAUCAACCGAGAUUCCCCCAGUAGCGGCGAGCGAACGGGGAGGAGCCCAGAGCCUGAAUCAGCAUGUGUGUUAGUGGAAGCGUCUGGAAAGGCGCGCGAUACAGGGUGACAGCCCCGUACACAAAAGCGCAUGUGCUGUGAGCUCGAUGAGUAGGGCGGGACACGUGGUAUCCUGUCUGAAUAUGGGGGGACCAUCCUCCAAGGCUAAAUACUCCUGACUGACCGAUAGUGAACCAGUACCGUGAGGGAAAGGCGAAAAGAACCCCGGCGAGGGGAGUGAAAAAGAACCUGAAACCGUGUACGUACAAGCAGUGGGAGCACCCUUUGGGGUGUGACUGCGUACCUUUUGUAUAAUGGGUCAGCGACUUAUAUUCUGUAGCAAGGUUAACCGUAUAGGGGAGCCGAAGGGAAACCGAGUCUUAACCGGGCGUUAAGUUGCAGGGUAUAGACCCGAAACCCGGUGAUCUAGCCAUGGGCAGGUUGAAGGUUGGGUAACACUAACUGGAGGACCGAACCGACUAAUGUUGAAAAAUUAGCGGAUGACCUGUGGCUGGGGGUGAAAGGCCAAUCAAACCGGGAGAUAGCUGGUUCUCCCCGAAAGCUAUUUAGGUAGCGCCUCGUGAAUUCAUCUCCGGGGGUAGAGCACUGUUUCGGCUAGGGGGCCAUCCCGGCUUACCAACCCGAUGCAAACUGCGAAUACCGGAGAAUGUUAUCACGGGAGACACACGGCGGGUGCUAACGUCCGUCGUGAAGAGGGAAACAACCCAGACCGCCAGCUAAGGUCCCAAAGUCAUGGUUAAGUGGGAAACGAUGUGGGAAGGCCCAGACAGCCAGGAUGUUGGCUUAGAAGCAGCCAUCAUUUAAAGAAAGCGUAAUAGCUCACUGGUCGAGUCGGCCUGCGCGGAAGAUGUAACGGGGCUAAACCAUGCACCGAAGCUGCGGCAGCGAACGUAUCACUUAAAGCGAUUCAGCGGGUUACGAUUGACGGAGCGAAGCGACGUCAAAGCGUAUACAAAGUCGAGUCGGUUUAAGGAUACGUU
rnacentral:rRNA from 1 species